rnacentral:rRNA from 1 species
GGGUGCGAUCAUACCAGCAAUAAUGCACCGGAUCCCAUCGGAACUCCGAAGUUAAGCUUGCUUGGGCGAGAGCAGUACUAGGAUGGGUGACCUCCUGGGAAGUCCUCGUGUUGCACCCCUC